rnacentral:sRNA from 1 species
UUUAUUAUCCCGUAUAUUUUAUUAACCAAAACGUUGCGUAUAACGCGUUUGCAUUUUGUUAAUAACCAGUGCAAAAUAUUGCCUUAUAUUUUAAAGGAGUUAUUUCCUUCACGGCCGUUUUCGUUGCCGAAGAUUAUUACGUAUCCGAUUUGUAAAUUCAAAUCCUCCAAAUUGGCAAACGAUCCGUUAACAAACACGUAUAUUUUUGCAAUGUUCAAAUUUAGGGGUAUAUAUAUUAACCCCCUUUGGUUAUUUUCGAUCUACCAUUAUAUUCGUUUAUUAAACCUUUCGAUCUCUGUAUCGGUUGGAUCUAUUAUUUGUGCUACCACGGAUAGGUCAAACGCUGUUUCUGGUUGGUAUAUAGUGGUAAUGUAAGCCCCUUUGGUUCGUUAUACCACGUAUUGCUAAUUGCGAUUUGGUGACUUCGGGUUUAUUAGUUCCAGGCGAUUUGUUUGCCCCUUUUAUUAUAUAUGCACGACGCCCUUUUUUAAUGUAAUUUUGCAGCCGUUAAAAUUUUUUGUAUUCCUUUCCCCCAUAAUUUUCUGUGGUUUGGUAAGGAGGGCCGUUCGUUGGAAUUUUGUUUUUUCGGUUGCAAUAAAUUUUGGAUUACCCAGAUUUAGUGUAUCGUCGGUUUGCAACCCAACGAGGCCGAAAGGUCCGCUUUUUAUAAUUAGCAAACAGGCGUUAUAUUUUGAAAUUGCACAGUUUAAUCGCUUUUUGUGGUGACGUUGGUAGAUAUUAAACCAAUGCAAUCCAAUUCCGUUAAACCGUAUAAUGGUUUGUUUACCUUCAAAUACGUGCCUUUUGGGUAUUUGUGUUAAAAUUCCUUUGGUAUCCGUACUAAUACGUCCCUUACGAACUAAUUUUUUAAUUAAAUGUACGCCUGGCUAAUAUUACGGAUUAUAAAUUUGUAUCCGUUUUGUGCCAUUAGAUUUGGUGCGAUCGAAAGGAUUAGGCGUUAAUUGCACCGUAUAAUCGUUAAUACCUGCGUUAACAGGUUUUUUUUUUCGUUAUUACUAUAACCCUAUAUAAUAAGGCGAGAUUUUUCGUAGGGCCGGUCCGCCGUCCCUUUAACCUUUCGUACCAUUUUAACACCAAAAAUCCGGCUACGUGCGUUUUCCCCGUGUACCGGUUGUAGCAUUUCCGCGCCCAGCAACGCCUCGAUUUCGGUUGCAUUUAAUUGUUCGAAUGGAGCACCUGGGGUAAUAAUUUUACCCUUUGUUUUAUAUUUUAAUAUUAAUUUGUAUAAUUGGGUCUCUUUAUUUAAUAUUAACGUGUUAAAAUGUGCCUUAGGUUUCCGUUUCCGGCCAUUGCGGCGCUGUUCGUUAUAAUUUCCGGCCAUUUUUAUAGUAAAAUUUUCCUUUUCUGCGGUAGGCUUUCCUUUAACCGGUUCCGGCCCGGUUUUUGUAUUUUUUCCCGUAAAUGGUGGGUAUUAUAUUUCUCCGGGCGGAUCCGUUAUUUGUGGUUGUAAUUGCUCGAUCGGCUUUUUCGGAAUUGUUUUUGGCCGUCCCCUUUUGCGUGGUUUUGGCUCCUUUGGGUAAACAAAAUUAUUUUGAUUUUCCAAUGGUUUAUCCGGUUAUUUUUGGUAUUUGUAAUACGGUUUUACGUAAAUAUUUUUAAAUUUAAAAUUGCCGUUUGGGAGCGUUAUUGUAACGUUAUUUUCGGUUACGCAAACGAUUUUAUAUGGUCCAUUCCAAUUGCCUUUUUUUCUAUAUACCAACACCUCGCUGCCCAAAAUUAAUAUAAUUAAUAGGCGGUCCUUUAAAUCAGGACCGUUUUUUGCAACCAAUGCGUCGUUUACCUUCCUUUUUGCCGUAAAUUUCCUAAAUUUUGCCAUUACCUUAUUUACCGUUCCUGCGCGUUUUGUUUAUAUUGGUAUUGGAGGUAAAUCCAUGGUAAAUUUGGGUAAUGCACCAAAAAUUAGAAAUGUGGGGAUUAAACCGUCCGGACCUGCGGUAUCGUUUACCGUUUUUACCGCUGCCUGUAGGAUUGGUUUUUGCGAAUAUUCCGUACCGCAUUCGUCCCGGAUAAUUUCGUAUGUUCGUCUCAGGGGUGUAUAAAACCUUUCGAUUUUUCCAAUUACCCAGUGGGCCUUAACAGGCAUUUGGUUGCAGGUAAUACCUAAUAACCGUACCUUUGCGUGGAAUUCCGUUACCCUAAAAUUGGGCCCCGGGUCGAACGUUAAUACGUUAGGCGGUCCCAAAUACGUAUCGAUCCAGCAUUAUUUUAACGUUUCCUAGAUUUUUUUGGCUAAUAUAUCCGUUAAAAACCGUGCUGCCUGGUAUAAUAUAUUCGCAUCGAUCGCAUGGAAAAUUGGCCGACCAUCCAAAUAUACCACGUCUAUAAUUAUUUCGUAAUUGAAAUCGAUAUUUUCCUUUAGGGCAAAUUUAAAGCGUUAAGGUAUUUUACCCUUUUUCUGGCAAAAAUGGCAGAUUUUGUUAAUUAUUUAUAUAACCUCCAAAUUUGCAUUUUCACCUGCCCGUUGCAGCAAUUUCCAUAGUUUAUCAAUUGACGGGUGGCCGAAUUUCCGGUAUAUUCGCUUUAAUUCUCUUUCGGUGAAAAAUGCUCCCGGGAUUUCCGGUUCCGUAAAAAACGUAAUCCCGGGCCCGGUUAAAUCCAUAUAAAACCACGGAUAACCCUUUUUUUUUCCACGGGUAUUUGUUUCCCAUUUUUACAAACGAUUUCGUUACGUACGUUAUUAUAAUAAACGUAUAACCUAUCCAUAUUUUUCAAAUAUAUUAAAAACGGUGUAUUUGUUUCCAUAAUAUGGAACGUAAUCGUUCCGAUAAAUGUAAGGAUUACAGCCGUUCCCAAAAAAAUUGCCACGUUGUUUUAACCAAAACGCACACGUGCCUUUCCGGCACGGUUUUAAUUAAAAGUUAAUUCCGGGUUAUGGCGUUUUAAAGCAACAAAUUGCCUAAAACCGGCGGUAAAAUGCUCCGUUACCCCUAUAUCCGGUAAAAAACCCUCCCAUUCCAAAUUUUUUUGCAUGAACGUUUAAUCGAUUUAAUUACCUUAUACCUUUUCCGGUUAAUCCGAGGUGGCAAAUAAUUUGUAUAUAAACGAUUCGUUUGCCAAAAAUUGUGUAUUUUGGGCGGUUAUAAAAUGGUUCGUUACCUCUAAAUCCUCGUAAAAAAAUUCCUCUAAAUCCGCCUUUAAUAGGUCCAUUUCGUUAUUUUCAAAAUUUUCAUUUGGAUUUUCCAUAUUUUGAACGUAGGUUUUAUAAUUUUGGCCGCUUUUGCCACGAUUUCGUUAAUUACGUUUCCACCGUUUUUUUUCAGCUUUCUGCUCCUUUUUCGUAUAUUUCCACGAUUUGCAAUUUCCUUUUUUGCAAAUAUAAUAUAACCCCUUUUUCUGCAUUUUGGUAUUGUAUGCGGUACCAUUGUUUCGGUGCGGAAAUCGGAAGUUUUUUUUUUUUUGGUGGUUGGGCCGCUCGUUGCGAACGGUGGUUUGGUAUUUGCGAUCCACCAAAAACUGCCCGCGUAUUUGUGGCUUAUAUUUAAUGGCCAUAAACCGGCGCAAUUAACUGCACAAUUCCUCGAACGAUUUCCGGCGUAUAUUUACAAAUGCCAAUUUUAGCUCCGGCACCCCUUAUAUGGCCCGGAUUGUAUUAUUUACGAAUUAAUAUUUAAACUGGUAAUUUGCUCCCAUAGUUUUUUGGCAUUGUUGCAAUUUAUCGAAAAGGAAUUUUAAAAUUUGUUUUGGAAUUUUGGUUGCAUUUUUAACCUUUUCCCGUAUAGUGUAAAACGUUAUCGAAUUCCAAUUUAAAUGGUAUUAUUGGCGGAUAAAAUCGGUAUUAAAACGUUUUUUAAAACGUAGGUACAUUUCCCUAAAAAUCAUGUCUCUUCCCACGUAAAUUUAAAAAUAAUCGUUUAUUUUGCCUUUUAAAAUAAACGGGAAUAUUGCGUACAUUUGGGCAAUUUCGAUCUGCAUUAUUUGGCAAAUGUUUGUAAAAUUAAAUAUUUUUUUAUCCAGGAAAUCGUAUGGAUUUCCUAAAUAAUUGUUAUCCUUUUCCCAUACCUAUAUAAAAAUCUUUAACGUGGUAAACGGGAACGUUUUAUUGGGUGUUUAUAUAGGCGGUAGAAUCCUAUAUGCAGAAAUAUUUUGUACCAUGGGACGGUUAUAUAUUUAAUAAGGAUUGUACGCGUAUGGUAACUCUCGUUAAACAUUUGCUCUUUCAUUUUAACGUUCCCUUUUAUAUUUUUCGUUAUAUUCCCUGGGCACCCCAAACGUCUGUUCGUUAAAAACAGCUAAUUGGUGCGUUGCCUGGUUAUUGCGUAAUUUGAAGGCGUGAAAUGUUAUUGCUAUUGGGUUUCGCCCCUAAAAACCGCCCCGUAUUUCGUAAUAGGUGUUUUGUAUGGGUUGAGGUAAAUAAAUUCGAUCCCCUUUACCCUUUAUUACCUGCUCGGUACAAUUUCUGUUUUUGUACACCACCUUUUUUUGAUCCUCGAUUACCUCGAUUAUAACUUUCACCAAUCUUUUCGACGUUUUUGUAUUCGCGUUACCGGGUAUAAUUACGCCGGCGUUUUGGAAAUAGUUUUUUAACGCACGCAAAAGCGUUUUGUUGCACCCUUUAAAAUCAUCCUCUUUCCAGCCUAAAAACUCUUUUAUAUAAUAUUCCAACAGGCGUUCCCCUAAUUUUGGUUUUGUUGGCCUGUUAAAGUCGCAUAUUACACGCAUAAUCCACGCGUUUUUUUGGCCUGUUAUCCCUAAUUUUGGAUGUUUUGCCAAUUUUAUUAUAUUAUCCUUUAGGGCGUUUAUAUCGAUUUCCCUUCGGUUCUUUGGUUUAAUCCCAAACGUAUUAAAUAUGCGGUAAAAAAACUCGUUCUCGUUUUUGUUUUCGAAUAUGCGUUACCUCGGUAUCGUUAUUAAUACCUGUGGCUUUGCAUCUUGGUUUAAUUCGUCGUCUUCCGUCAUAGCGUUUUCUUCAAUGCAAAAAUAUCGUUACGGAAUAUUUUCGUUUGUAAUUAGCGGUAUAGUCCAAAUGGUGAGUAAUUUUUCAAUUUUAGGCCGGAAUGAUCCAAUCGGUGCUUUGGGAGUUUACGUAACAAUUAUCUACAGAUUUUAAACGUUUUAUAUAUACGGUGUCUGUAGGCCGUUACAAUAUUUUCGUUGCUAGCCCGGUUUUAAACAGCGUUGGCUGGGAAUAUUAGCAAUUCCAAUACUUUUAUUUAGUUUAUUUGUAUUGCCUAUAUUAACAACAUUAAUUAGUAUUAAUAGGAAUUAUAUAAUCGCUGCGAUCGGUAAAACAAUAUAACAAACAAAAUCGGUAUUUUUAUACAUGGUAACUAGCUAACUGUAACUAUUUACGCGGUUGCAUAAAUCUGUUAAAGAUUCUGCGACGUGUUCCGAGAUCACGUGGUUUGCAACGUGAUCUCUCCACACGCAUGUCUGGCCGUGAAUUAACAGUGUCCAUAGUUUUCCCAUUUAAUAAGUUAUUCUGUUUUGCCGUAGUUUCGUCUAUGGUCGAAUAUUCGUUCGACUUCGUAGAUUUGUUCUGCGUCGAUCUCGAUUAUUUUUCGUAUAUUUGUGCCGUGCGGUGCUGGUUCCAGUAAUAAUACGUGAAACGUGGGGUGGAUUUUUAUGGUAUUUGGUAAUAACAGUCUGUAAUUGGUAUCGCUGAUUUUUUUACUGAUUUUGAAAGGUCCAAGCUUUUUAAAAUCGAAUUUGCUGUUUGGUCGCUAUGUUUUAAUAUUGCGUCGAAUAAAAUAAACGUUAUUUCCCUUUUUAAAGGAUGGUCCCUUUAUCCGAUGCUGAUUGGCGUAUUUUAUUAUUUUUUUUCGUACGAAUUCUAAUUCCCGCUGGAGUUUUUGGUAUAAUUUUCGUAAUUUAUUUGUUUAUUUGUCGGUUUGUGGUGCCGUGGUCGUUGUUUUGGGUUUUUUAUACGCUGUAGGGUUAAAUCCAUAAUUGGCGUAAAACAGGGUUGUUUUGGUAUUUUCGUUUUUUGAAUUGUUAUAGGCGAAUUAUGCUGUGGGUAAUAACCGUACCCAAUUAUCUUAUUUGUGGUUUAUAUAGCAUUUUAGGUAUUGUUCGAAUAUUUGGUUAGUUCGUUUUGUUUAUCCGUUUGUUUGUGGGUAAAAUGCUGUUAAUAAUUUGUGGUCUGUGACUAGUUGUUCCAUUAAAAAUUUCCAAAAUUUUAAUAUAAAAAGUUUGUUUCGGUUUAUAAUAAUAUUUUUAGGAAGUCCGUAAUUAUUAACAAUUAUUUGUAGAAAUAUAUA